GAAGACAAUAUUUUACUAGUGACCCAUGUCAGAAAUUGGAUUAUUGUUGUCCAGUUAUUAAAACAUUAUUUUUAUGCUAUUGUGUGCUGUGCUAUAGGGUAAAAGAACACAAACAAACACACGAUAACAUCUGUUUUUUGUCGAGACACACUUGGCUCCUGGGUCACAUGUUUGCAAAAGAGCCAGGUUUUUACAGCUGUGACCGACGCCCAGAUUACCGCGGUCGUUUUGCCACUCUUGUCACGGAGUCUGCAUCUUCUCCACUGUGACGUCUCGAUGUGCAUCGUCCAGCCGACUACAUUUGUUCAGUUGAACUGAUGUGAAAGUGGAACCACCAUCAUGCUCUCUACGUGAUGUUAGACAUGAGUCACUGGAGGAGAAACAAAAAAAGCAGAAAGACAAACUCCUGUACUGGAAAUAUGUCGUCCGUGUCAGCAGGGCCUCAGUUAACAGUUCCACCCCUAAAUCGGUUCAAGUCGCAUAUUUUCAUGACCAAGGAAAGAGCAAGGCCUCUUCCAGCUGUGUCAGGUGAUUCUGAUUAAUUUCCAGAUUGUGACAGAACAGAAAUUUGUGUGUCUCUGUGUGUGUGUGUGUGCGUGGCACAGACUUUCAGCUCAACUGCUUCCCAUUUCAGCAUUUUCCUUUUUUUCUACCCUUCUUGACUCAAAGGCUGUUUGUUGCUGAGACUGUUCCUCAAGUAAAGCAUGAAAAUGGCCGCCUAUGGAAAGAUAAACAUUUGUAAUGAGUAGAUUAAAUCAGACAUGCCAACAGUGGUCACAUUGACUGUCCUCUUUGCAAACACACAGAACACAAUACUGGUCACUGAAAGCUGCAGCUGUCUGACAGAUGACAGGGGCCUGUGUUAAAAUCAGCUUUAUUUACUGAUCUCUUUUAGUUUGCCUUAAAACACAGUUACUUGAUUCAUCGGUGUGGGUGUUUUCUGAUUUAGUGGUUUCUUUUCACCAUAUGACAAAGAAAGGUUUGAUGUUGACUUGCUGAUGUUUUUUUUGACUGGUCUCUUUUGGUUCCAGGAAACACUGUUACAGUUGAUGUUGUCCGUUCAAAGUGCAGAGAGCACGUGUUGUGUUAUCUGUUGUUUAUUUUUGCUCUGGUUACAAAGCACUUAAAUACAGUUAAACCUCAGUUUGCUUUGCCCCAGGUCACCGACGAACAAGUUAACCUUCCCAUUAACACCUGUUGUUAAAAUGGAUGCGAUUAUUUCUUCUUCUUUUUU